UUGUGUGUCCACAUUUCAUGACAGUAGUGUCUUUCAGCGAGUCGAAUAGUGAUGGUGCAUAGAAUUUUCAACACAUAAAUGGUUAUUACGCAGUGUUACAGAAUAGCAAGAUCCUGAUAAUUGAACAGCAUAAACAGAUAACAAAACCCCAAUGACAAUCAGAAGUCAAAUAUGAAAAUCAGCGGAUUAAACCAUAGUUAGAUGCAUACCACACUUCUU
rnacentral:lncRNA from 1 species